ensembl:snRNA U6 U6 spliceosomal RNA
GCUUGCUUCAGCAGUGCAUAUACCAAAAUUGUAAUGAUACAGAGAAAACUAGCAUGGCACCUGUGCAAGGGUGACACUCAAAUCCAUCAUGUAUUCCAUAUUUUU